rnacentral:rRNA from 1 species
GACGAACGCUGGCGGCGUGCUUAACACAUGCAAGUCGAACGGACAGACAGAGAGCUUGCUCUCUUGAAGUUAGUGGCGAGCGGGUGAGUAACGCGUAAUCAACCUGCCCUUCAGAGGGGGAUAACAACGGGAAACCGUUGCUAAUACCGCGUACGAUUCAUGAACGGCAUCGUUUAUGAAUGAAAGGUGGCCUCUAUGUAUAAGCUAUCGCUGAAGGAGGGGAUUGCGUCUGAUUAGCUAGUUGGAGGGGUAACGGCCCACCAAGGCAAUGAUCAGUAGCAGGUCUGAGAGGAUGAACGGCCACAUUGGGACUGAGAAACGGCCCAAACUCAUACGGGAGGCAGCAGUGGGGAAUCUUCCGCAAUGGACGAAAGUCUGACGGAGCAACGCCGCGUGAGUGAUGAAGGUCUUCGGAUUGUAAAGCUCUGUUAAUCGGGACGAAAGAGUUCUGCGUGAAUAAUGCAGAAAAGUGACGGUACCGGAAUAGAAAGCCACGGCUAACUACGUGCCAGCAGCCGCAGUAA